rnacentral:lncRNA from 1 species
CCAACCCAAAUUCAAACCCUAACAGGUGUCGAUCAUCCUCCACGCAUACCGCGUCUCGUUGUCUUAGCCCAUUACUUCGAUCCCCAAAUUUCCAAAUUCACAAAACAAAACAAACCCUGACAGCCGCAUCCUCUCUCGUACGGUUAUCCUUCUCGUUUUGGCAGCUCGUCUACGCCGCUCCACGUUAGCUGGGUCGGGUUUUCGGGUUAACAAGUCCAGCUCUCUCUCUCUCUCUCUCUCCCUCUCUCUCGGGUAUUCUCUCUCAAAAAAAUACAAACCUGUUUCCCCCCUUUUCCAGUUAUACAAUUCUGCCCUUUUUUUUUUUUUUUAAGCUUAAUACAAAUUAAGCUCAAUUCGGACCCGUGAUGAAAAUAAAAUCCGGCCAUCGGCGCGUGUAAUCGCGCUCAAUUAUUCUCGAUAAAAUGUCGUGACGAAAUUAAAAAAAAUUGAUAGCGAAGAGGAAAAUGAAAUCACUCACUUAAUUAAGAAAAUCGGAGUGCAUAUGUUACAAUCCUCCCCUCUUAUAAAAAUUUCGUCCUCGAAAUUUACACAUCUGUUGAGAAUAAGUGAGGGUAUUGAGCUCGCAUUAAGUCUUCACGUUCCCAAGUAGCCUCUUCUCUUGUGUGAUUCCUCCACAACACUUUUACUAGCGGAAUGGUUCUUGAACGCAAAACUUGGUGCUUCUGUUCUAGAAUUUCCACGGGCUCUUCUUCAUAACUCAAGUCUUCUUUCAACUCAAUUGGUUGUCUCGACAACACAUGACUAGGAUCAUACACAUACUUCCAGAGCAUCGAAACAUGAAAGACAUCGUGGAUUCUGGAUAACUCAGGUGGUAGAGCUAAUCGAUAUGCCAACGGACCAAUACGCUCCACAAUCUCAUAUGGUCCAAUGUAACGUGGACUCAACUUCCCGCGCUUACCAAAUCGAAGUACCCCUUUCCAAGGAGAUAUCCGCAUGAAAACCUUAUCACCUACUUCAAACUCAAGUUCCCGCCUACGCUUAUCUGCAUAGCUCUUUUGUCUGCUCUAGGCUGCCUUUAAUCUUUCCCGAAUAAGCUGUAUCUUCUCACUAGUAUUUUGAACCAAUUCGGGACCAAAAAGUUUCCGCUCUCCAACCUCAUCCCAACAUACGGGAGUUCUGCAUUUCCUGCCAUACAAGGCCUCAUAAGGUGCCAUCUCGAUACUAGCUUGAUAACUAUUAUUAUAAGCAAACUCCAUCAAGGGUAAAUAAAUGUCCCAACUACCCCUAAACUCCAAAAUACAAGCUCGUAACAUAUCCUCCAGGGUUUGAAUAGUACGCUCUGACUGACCAUCAGUCUGUGGGUGAAAAACUGUACUGAAGUUCAACUUGGUGCCUAAAGCCUUUUGCAAACUUGUCCAGUGGCCUCCCUGGUGAUCGUGGUUGGUCGGAAAUUGUUGCUGAAGAUGUGAAGAACCAGUUCCAAGUGGUGGCGCGUCACAAACCCGGCGGAAUCAACGGCGACGGAAAAGGAUCUUGGCCGCGACUUUCGAGCUCCAAUCGCCGACGUUCUGGCCAGUUUUCGGCGACGAGGACCACGGGGAUACGACGGUCAGCUUCCAAGCUUCAGAUCGGUACCAAGCACGGCCGGUAAGGUGGCCGGAAACGGGAGAACUCGUCGGGUCAAUAUCGCGGAAUCGGGUCGGGUUUUCAGGUUAACAGGUCCAGCUCUCUCUCUCUCUCUCUCUCUCUCUCCCUCUCUCUCGGGUAUUCUCUCUCAAAAAAAUACAAACCUGUUUCCCCCCUUUUCCAGUUAUACAAUUCUGCCCUUUUUUUUUUUUUUUAAGCUUAAUACAAAUUAAGCUCAAUUCGGACCCGUGAUGAAAAUAAAAUCCGGCCAUCGGCGCGUGUAAUUGCGCUCAAUUAUUCUCGAUAAAAUGUCGUGAUGAAAUUAAAAAAAGUUAAUAGCGAAGAGGAAAAUUAAAUCACUCACUUAAUUAAGAAAAUCGGAGUGCAUAUGUUACAGGAAUGCCGUAAGUUUUAAAAUAAUAGUUGUGCUGGAGAAUAAGCUAAACAUUUAAUAAAAUUUAAUUUUUGAAAGUGUUGUCAAUUUUAAAAGUAUUCAUAUGUAUUUAGUCAAUUUUAUUGUUGAAAUGCUAUAAAAAUAUAAAUGACUAAAAUAAGCAUAAUGCUAAAUAAAAUUUAUUUACACAUUUAUAAACAUGUAUAUAUAAAUUUUUUUAUUUUGAAUAUAUAAUGAUUGACAACUAAAAUAAUUUUUUAUUUGUUAUCUCAGUAUAAUUGGUAAAAGCAAUAAUCUUCUUUAAAUUUAAUACUUUUAUUUCCUAUUUAAAUAAACAUAAUUUUUUAUUUUUAUAAUCUAUGUGAGAAUAUAUCUGAAAUUGAAUUAGAUUUAAAUAUGUUUCUUGAAAUCAGACGUUAAAAUACUACUCAUUUCAUGCCUUGAGUUCUUGAAAACCCUUUUCACAAUCAUCAUUCCACUGGAACUUAGCAUUCUUUCUGGUUAACCUUGUCAGAGGAAUAACAAUCUUGGAGAAUCCUUCCACAAAUCUUCGAUAAUAGCCAGCUAAUCCAAGGAAACUUCGAACUUUAGUCACAUUUGUAGGCCGUUCCCAAUUUACAACUGCUUCGAUCUUUUGAGGAUCAACAUAAAUUCCUUCAGCUGAUAUCACAUGGCCUAGAAAUACUACUUUAUCCAACCAGAACUCACACUUGAUACUAGCUUGAUAACUAUUAUUAUAAGCAAACUCCAUCAAGGGUAAAUAAAUGUCCCAACUACCCCUAAACUCCAAAAUACAAGCUCGUAACAUAUCCUCCAGGGUUUGAAUAGUACGCUCUGACUGACCAUCAGUCUGUGGGUGAAAAACUGUACUGAAGUUCAACUUGGUGCCUAAAGCCUUUUGCAAACUUGUCCAGAACUUAGAAGUAAAUCGGGAAUCUCUAUCUGAAACAAUAGACACAGGUGCUCCGUGAAGUCGAACUAUCUCAGCCACAAAAAUAUUCCCCAACUUGUCCAUCGAAUAAGUGGUCUUGAAUUGUAAAAAGUGAGUAGAUUUGGUAAGUCGAUCAACAACUACCCAUACACUAUCAUGACCACUCUGAGUACGUGGAAGUCCCGUUACAAAAUCCAUGGUGAUGUGCUCCCAUUUCCACUCGGGGAUAGGAAGCGGCUGAGAAAACCCUGCAGGUCUCUGAUGUUCAGCCUUAAUCUGCUGACAAACUAAACACCGAGAUACAAAUUCAGCUAUCUCUCUCUUCAUACCUUGCCACCAGUAAUGAUCUCUCAAGGUACGGUACAUCUUCGUACUACCAGGAUGCAUAGCAUAAGCUGAACAAUGAGCUUCUUCCAUGAUCUCCUUUUUCAACUCCUUAAUGUCGGGUACGCAAAGUCGAUUAUCCAUAACUAAAACUCCAUCAUCUCUCACUGCAAAAUUAGUUCGUAAGCCUUUUUGCACAUCCUCUUUCAACUUCAGUAACUGCAAAUCCUGAUCUUGCAUCUGAUGAACUUUGUCAAUCAAAGUCGGCCUCACUCGAAAAUUAGCUAUUAAAGCUCUGCAAUUAUCAACUUCCAAUUCAACUCCCAAAGAUCUCAACUCAAUUAAUAACGGCAUGUAUGUCCCUCGCAAGUGAGCUAUAGAGCUAAAAGACUUCCUGCUUAGCGCAUCAGCUACCACAUUCGCUUUGCCCGGAUGAAAAUCAAUGGUACAAUCAUAGUCUUUAAUCAGCUCAAUCCAUCUCCUCUGUCUCAAAUUCAACUCCUUCUGAGUAAACAAAUACUUCAAGCUCUUGUGAUCAGUAAAAAUCUGACAUGUUGCUCCAUACAAGUAAUGCCUCCAUAUCUUGAGUGCAAACACCACUGCUGCUAGCUCUAAAUCAUGAGUUGGGUAAUUUUGUUCAUGCUUCUUAAGUUGUCUUGAAGCAUAAGCCACUACCUUCCCAUGUUGCAUUAGCACACAACCCAAUCCUUGCCUGGAUGCAUCACUGUAUACAACAAACCCUUCAGUACCCGAAGGAAGUGUAAGGACUGGUGCUGAAGUAAGACAUGUCUUGAGUUCUUGAAAACUCUUUUCACAAUCAUCAUUCCACUGGAACUUAGCAUUCUUUCUGGUUAACCUUGUCAGAGGAAUAACAAUCUUGGAGAAUCCUUCCACAAAUCUUCGAUAAUAGCCAGCUAAUCCAAGGAAACUUCGAACUUUAGUCACAUUUGUAGGCCGUUCCCAAUUUACAACUGCUUCGAUCUUUUGAGGAUCAACAUAAAUUCCUUCAGCUGAUAUCACAUGGCCUAGAAAUACUACUUUAUCCAACCAGAACUCACACUUGCUGAACUUAGCGUACAAUUGCUUUUGUCUUAAAGUCUGCAAAACAGUCCGCAAGUGCUCCUCAUGUUCCUCCUGACUUCGAGAAUACACCAAAAUAUCGUCGAUAAACACAAUCACAAAUCGAUCUAGAUAAGGGCGAAAUACCCUAUUCAUAAGGUCCAUGAAAGCCGCUGGGGCAUUAGUCAACCCAAAUGGCAUCACUAAAAACUCAUAAUGUCCAUAACGAGUUCUGAAUGCUGUUUUAGGAACAUCGGCCUCUUUAAUUCUAAGCUGAUGAUAUCCCGAGCGCAAAUCGAUCUUAGAAAACACCUUUGCUCCCUGAAGUUGAUCAAACAAGUCAUCGAUGCGCGGAAGUGGAUAUUUAUUACGCACUGUAACUUUAUUCAACUGCCUAUAGUCAAUGCAGAGUCUAAGAGUACCAUCCUUUUUCUUAACAAACAACACCGGAGCUCCCCACGGAGAUACACUAGGUCUAAUAAACUCUUUAUCCACCAAUUCUUGCAGUUGAAUCUUAAGUUCCUUUAAUUCAGCUGGAGCCAUCCUAUAUGGUGCUAUAGAUAUAGGAGCCGUCCCAGGGACUAAAUCAAUAGAGAACUCAAUCUCUCUAUGAGGUGGCAUCCCUGGAAGUUCAUCUGGAAAUACAUCUGAAAACUCUUGGACUACUGGAAUAUCCUCCAAUCUCAACUCCCGAACUCCAGUGGCUAUUACGUAUGCCAGAUAAGCUGAGCAACCUUUCCUUAGUAAGCGUCUUGCAUCAAUGGCCGAUAUGACACAUGAGGGUAAAAUUCUACGCUCACCACAAAAUUUCACCUCAGUUUCUCUUGGUUUGUUGAACACAACUUCCUUUUUAAAACAAUCCACUGUAGCAUGGUGAGACGCAAGCCAAUCCAUGCCCAAAAUGGCAUCAAAAUCUUGAAUGUCUAGAAUAAUCAAAUUCGCCUUAAAUUCAUGCUCGCCCAAUCGAAUCAUGCUAUCUUGAUACACCUUUUCAGCAAGUAAUGACCCUCCGGUAGGUGUACUAACAACUAAACCAUAAUCCAGCAAUUCAGGCUCUCUCUCUAGAUGCAUACUAAAUGUGCGAGAAACAAAAGAAUGCGUGGAUCCAGGAUCAAUAAGAAUAUGAGCAUCAUGACCAAAGAUAGAUAAUGUACCCAUAAUAACUUCUGGUGUAGCAUGAGCCUCCUGCUGUGUCAAGGCAAAAACUCGAGCCUGAGUACGAGGUCGACCAGGUUGACCUCUCUGACUUGGAAAAGUGGUCUGACUCCUCGAUAUAGAACCCCCUGUCUGCAUACCCCUCUGACCCGGAACUGGUCCAACAUGAGAUUGAUACUGUGGGGCUGCCCCUCGAGCAGAAUUGUCACCCUGAGAUAAAGUAGGGCAUAAUCUCUUAAUAUGUCCAGGUUGUCCACAUAAAUAACACACAUUGUCUCCGAUACGGCACUGGCCCUGAUGGUUCCUACCACACGUAGGGCAAGGAGUCUGUUGUAUACUCCUACGGGGUCCUUCGCUAUUCCUGUCAUACUGCCCCUGAGUCCUAACAUUACUCCCCACUGAAGGCUGCGCCGAACCUGGUUUAUUGAACACAACUUCCUUUUUAAAACAAUCCACUGUAGCAUGGUGAGACACAAGCCAAUCCAUGCCCAAAAUGGCAUCAAAAUCUUGAAUGUCUAGAAUAAUCAAAUUCGCCUUAAAUUCAUGCUCGCCCAAUCGAAUCAUGCUAUCUUGAUACACCUUUUCAGCAAGUAAUGACCCUCCGGUAGGUGUACUAACAACUAAACCAUAAUCCAGCAAUUCAGGCUCUCUCUCUAGAUGCAUACUAAAUGUGCGAGAAACAAAAGAAUGCGUGGAUCCAGGAUCAAUAAGAAUAUGAGCAUCAUGACCAAAGAUAGAUAAUGUACCCAUAAUAACUUCUGGUGUAGCAUGAGCCUCCUGCUGUGUCAAGGCAAAAACUCGAGCCUGAGUACGAGGUCGACCAGGUUGACCUCUCUGACUUGGAAAAGUGGUCCAGGUUGUCCACAUAAAUAACACACAUUGUCUCCGAUACGGCAUUGGCCCUGAUGGUUCCUACCACACGUAGGGCAAGGAGUCUGUUGUAUACUCCUACGGGGUCCUCCGCUAUUCCUGUCAUACUGCCCCUGAGUCCUAACAUUACUCCCCACUGAAGGCUGCGCCGAACUGUAACUAGCGGAUUGUCUCUGAUCUCCCCUGCUACUCAUACUCUGAUUCCUUUGCACACUAGCAGAGUAAUUUGUAUACGCGCCUCUCUUCGGCGGCCUGCUACUCGAGCCACCCUCUGUCCAACUCUGGCUACGUUUCUGCUUCAGAGCCUGAAUGAACUCAGUGUACCAUGAUGCCGUCACAGUCGUACGAAUCUCAAAUCGGAGACCCUCUUCAAAACGCUUACAUCUCUCCCUCUC